GAGGUCCCGCCUGCCCUGUGACUAUAUGUUUAACGGCCGCGGUAUUUUGACCGUGCAAAGGUAGCGCAAUCACUUGUCUUUUAAAUGGAGACCCGUAUGAAUGGCAUAACGAGGGCUUAACUGUCUCCUUUUUCAAGUCAAUGAAAUUGAUCUCCCCGUGCAGAAGCGGGGAUAAAACCAUAAGACGAGAAGACCCUAUGGAGCUUUAGACACCAAGGCAGAUCAUGUUAAGCACCCCAAAUUAAAGGGCCAAACCAGAGGAGCCCUGCCCUAAUGUCUUUGGUUGGGGCGACCGUGGGGAAACAAAAAACCCCCAUGUGGAAUGGGAAAACCCUUUCCUAAAACUAAGAGCCCCCGCUCUAAUAAACAGAAUUUCUGACCAAUCAGAUCCGGCAACGCCGAUCAACGGACCGAGUUACCCUAGGGAUAACAGCGCAAUCCUCUUUUAGAGCCCAUAUCGACAAGAGGGUUUACGACCUCGAUGUUGGAUCAGGACAUCCUAAUGGUGCAGCCGCUAU
rnacentral:rRNA from 1 species